rnacentral:lncRNA from 1 species
GUUUUGGAGGAUUUGGUGGAUCUAGAAGCUUUCCAACAAGAAGGAGCUUGCUAGAUGUAAGGUACCGGACUUCUAAAAUCAUGAAGUUACGGUGUACAUUUGGUUAGUGAGCCAUUAGAAAGGUUCCGGUGAAGUUCGGUGAAGUUCGGGAGUAUUCGGGCGAUUUGGUGCGCGUAGGCGCGGAAACGGAACCCGAAAGGCUAUGUUGAGCCGUGAGUUAAAUCCGGCAUUAGCGUAGAUGAAAAGAUGAUGAAAUCAUGCUUGAAAACAUGUUUGGAGAGUCUCGGUUUGAUUUGAAACGAAUCGGAGGUCAAACGGGCGAAAACGGAGUGAAAACGGACCCCGAAAGCUGAAAAAGCUGAAAAUUUGGCUAAGUCUGGAAUGCUGUUUUUCUGGACAUUCGGGGACCGGUCCCUCAAGUCCAGAGACCGGUCCCAGCACCCGAAAAUGGCCCAGUUUGGGCUGUGUGUGACUUAUAUUGUUGAGGGACCUUUGUGCAAUUGUGCAAAGGGUAUAGAGGUGUGUUGGAGCUCAUUUUUCUCUCUUCUCCCUCACAUUUUGUAACCUAAACUCUCCCUCUCUCUCUCUAGAAAGGAAAGAAAGAGAAGAAGAAGAAGAGGAAAGUGAAGGAGAAGGUGGAGGAGAAGGCUUGGAGAAGGAGUUCUACUUCUUCUUCCUCUUCUUUGGGCCAUUGGAGAGCUUUUGGAGGUAAGCUUGCUACCCUUUUAAUGGUAGAUCUUUAAUGGUUGGUCUAAAUACCUUAUAAAUGGUAUUUUUGUAACCCUAGCUUCUCUAAUAGAUGGAUUAUGCUUGAAUUUAGAGGCUACAUGAUGGAUUUUUGCAUAGUGAAAACCGAGGGCUCCAAAAUGGAGUUUUGGGAAAUCUAGGGUUUUGAUCUAAUU